AUAAGUGUGUGUUUCUACUUCUGGAAACAAACGCGAUUGUGUUGUAAUCAUGGCAGACUUGGUAACAGACAAAGAAGACGACUAUUUAUGGACAAAUGAGGAUUCACAACUUUAUAUUUUUAAAGCUGACUAUAUGGAGGAUAAACUGCUACUUAUAGAAGCAAGUGCGAAGAACAGGAUGAAACGCUGGAACAGACAGAAGCCGAGAGAGUUAGGUCGGUGUGACUUAACGCUGUAAAUGUGGAACUUUGAGCCAAGCUAUGCCAAAAUAAAUGGUGUACUUACCAAAAUCAAUGGGAAAUGUCCCAGGCCAGCUUGAGAAAUCGAACAACUGUCCAUCGAGCGGGGAUCGGAACUCUUUGGUCUUCUUGGCAGUGAGAGCAGCAGACAUGUUCAGCGCAAGCAUCACCUCAUUGUAGCGAAACCUCUGGUUUUCUUGGAGGGAGGCUACAAAGUCAUCAGAGAAGGCCACUACUGCUUCAAUACGAUGACGCACCUGGCAGUCGCAUAGGGGAAAUUCAGGGCUGUACUGGUAAGACUCUCCUGAUCCUGAUCCGUUGUUGCAAUUGGAUCGAGAUGACGAUCCAGGGCCACAGACAAAACUGGGAGAUGAAAAGUGCAUUCUGGGUCUUAGGGAAGUGCUGAGACCAAUGCCAGGCAAGCCAUGUUUCUUCUGCUCAUCAGGAAACAGGGUUAUACUCUUGGUUUCUCCUGUCAUUGGAACAAUGUACUCAUUGUUCAUCAUGAGGCGAGCUGUCGCAUAGCUGCUAAGGUGGAUGUCGAUCAGGAGGUCAUAGUAGCCUGUGCGAAGCAAACCUAAACGUCACACAGAAACAUAUAACUGUUAGAACAUACAAGUAGACAUAUUAUGCUCUCAGAGCCCUAUUCUCUCAUGUGCUUAAGUGAAAAAAGAUGCGCAAUUGCAUAGAUUCUGGCCGUGGACCAUUCUUCCCCAAACGAUUUUCGUUGGACAAUGAUCAUUGAACAAUGCGACUAUUUAAUAGAAAUAGUGUAUCAGGAUGCUAAGGCAGAGGAGGUGAUCAACAACUAUUGUUGAUUGAUCACCAACAGGAAUGUAGCAAGCAUAAUAACUGAAAAAUGUAACACAUUUUAAUCAAUUGAUUUGAUAGUUUUUUGACAGAUAGUGUCAACUUGUCAGCUGUCACUCUUCAUCCUCCACACACACACACGCACACACACACGUGUCACGGCUUCACAAACAUUCUAUAUAUCACAAAAAACAUCAGGGUGGUUGAACUAAAUAAGUUAGGCAAAGUUUAAUCUACAGAUUAUUAUUAUUAUUAUAUACAACUUAAAGGGAAACUACUUUUUUUUUUUUUAGAAUUUUGCCUAUCGUUCAAAACAUUAUGAAAAAAAAUUACGACGGAUGUAUUUUUUUUAAUGCAUUCUAAAUUUCUAUAUUUCAUUGCAGAACCUCUUAAGCGUAUUUUUAAUCUUUCUUUGUCUAGUAAUGAGAAUCCUAACAUUUGGAAAUCUGCCUAUGUUUUACCGUUGUUGAAAUGAGGAGAUCCCACAGCUGUUAAUAACUAUAGACCCAUUUCUUAGUUAUGCGUCCUAGCUAAAGUUCUUGAAAAGAUUGUUAGUGAACAACUUAAAGUAUUCUUAGACACCUAUGGUCUGCUUUCUGCACAUCCAUCAGGUUUAAGAAAGAGACAUAGCACCAUAACCACUGCUAUCAAAGUUGUAAAUGACAUUAUUGAGGCAUUGGAUUGCAAAAAAUUAUUAUUAUAAUUUUUUUUUUUAAACUGGAUACUGUACAUCACUGUGCCUUACGUUUUAUUACUAGUUGUGACAACCUUGUCCACCAUUGCACUUAGAAGGCAAAGGCAAACUGUCUAUCUUUUCUCUAUGGUUGUGUUUUAUAUAUAAAUCACUUCUUGGUCUGGUUCUCCUUAAUUUGUGUUCUUUUAUGUCUAAAUCGCUACGGCUUAAGGUCGCAGGACAUACUUAUAAUGUUUGUUCCUAGAGCCAACACAAAUCUUGGAAAAAAUGCUUUCAAACAUGCUACUCCAUGGUGAUGAAAUACCUUACAAAAGCAUCUGAGGUUACCUGAACUGAUCACUUUGGGAGAAUUUCAGGCUAUUUUAAAAGAUCGAGAAAUUGCUUCUUUUGGGCAUUGCACUUAUAAGUUGUUUUUACUGAAACAUUUCAUGCAUUGUUUUUAUGUUAAUAUAUGUAAGUAAUUUAUUUUCAGCUGUGGUGUGUGACUCUCGCUGUUUUCUGUUGUUUUUAUAUGUAUUUCUGUAACUUUGUUUUUGCUGCCGUCUUGGCCAGGUCACUCUUGUAAAAAAAGAUUUUAAUCCAAUGAGUUUUGACCUGGUUAAAUAAAGGAUAUUGAUUGAUUGAUUGAUUGAUUGCUUUAGUACCGACGUAGUUCACUGUGUCUUAUCCGUGGUUUGUGUUUUAGCUU